rnacentral:rRNA from 1 species
GAUGAAUGCUGGCGGCGUGCCUAAUACAUGCAAGUCGAGCGGUAGCAGGGCUUCACCGUUCUCUUGUCGCACUUGGCCUAUGUGCAAGUGGUCUGAUACGAGGGAACAGUGAAGCUGCUGACGAGCGGCGGACGGCUGAGUAACGCGUGGGAACAUACCCUAAAGUGAGGGAUAACUACUCGAAAGAGUGGCUAAUACCGCAUAUGAUCUUCGGAUUAAAGCUUUCGAGCGCUUUAGGAAUGGCCUGCGUACGAUUAGAUAGUUGGUGAGGUAAAGGCUCACCAAGUCGACGAUCGUUAGAUGGUUUGAGAGGAUGAUCAUCCAGACUGGGACUGAGACACGGCCCAG